rnacentral:rRNA from 1 species
UACGUAGGGGGCAAGCGUUGUCCGGAAUCAUUGGGCGUAAAGAGCGUGUAGGCGGCCCGAUAAGUCCGCUGUGAAAGUCCAGGGCUCAACCCUGGAAUGCCGGUGGAUACUGUCGGGCUCGAAUCCGGAAGAGGUGAGUGGAAUUCCUGGUGUAGCGGUGAAAUGCGCAGAUAUCAGGAGGAACACCAACGGCGAAGGCAGCUCGCUGGGACGGUACUGACACUAAGGCGCGAAAGCGUGGGGAGCGAACAGG